AAGCAAUUACCGGAUACAUUCUCAAUUUACACUUUAGGCAAAUAUUCCUCUUCGAGUAUUAACCACGUUUUUGUAAAUCGAGACUUUGGCAACAGGUUAUUGUAUUCGAAACAUAACUGAUUCCAUAAUUAAGUAAUUUUUCAAAAAACGCAGAAGCUUUGAUGGAAUUAAGGGAGUAGAAAAAAAAAACGAUUCGAGAUUUCUGUAAAAGAUUUCAAUU